UAGGGAAUCUUCCACAAUGGACGCAAGUCUGAUGGAGCAACGCCGCGUGAGUGAAGAAGGUUUUCGGAUCGUAAAGCUCUGUUGUUGGUGAAGAAGGAUAGAGGUAGUAACUGGCCUUUAUUUGACGGUAAUCAACCAGAAAGUCACGGCUAACUACGUGCCAGCAGCCGCGGUAAUACGUAGGUGGCAAGCGUUGUCCGGAUUUAUUGGGCGUAAAGCGAGCGCAGGCGGAAGAAUAAGUCUGAUGUGAAAGCACUCGGCUUAACCGAAGAACUGCAUUGGAAACGGUUUUUCUUGAGUGCAGAAGAGGAGAGUGGAAUUCCAUGUGUAGCGGUGGAAUGCGUAGAUAUAUGGAAGAACACCAGUGGCGAAGGCGACUCUCUGGUCUGCAACUGACGCUGAGGCUCGAAAGCAUGGGUAGCGAACAGG
rnacentral:rRNA from 1 species